rnacentral:tRNA from 1 species
GCCUGGGUAGCUCAGUCAGUUGAGCAUAGGACUCUUGAUCUCAGAGUCAUGAGUUCAAGCCCCACCUUAGGCA